GCCGGGCGUGGUGACGGGCGCCUGUAAUCCCAGGUACUUGGGAGGCUGAGGCAGGAGAAUCGCUUGAACCCGGGAGGUGGAGGUUGUAGUGAGCCGAGAUUGCGCCACUGCACUCUGGCCUGGGUGACAAGGCGAGACUCCGUCUCAU
ensembl:misc_RNA Metazoa_SRP Metazoan signal recognition particle RNA